rnacentral:lncRNA from 1 species
CUGAAAAAUUUGGACGUAACAUCUAUGAGCUAUUGUCCCUGAAGUGUGUAAAUUUACAAAUUUUCAUAGUUUUCUGCUAAUAUCUGACAGCUAUAUCAAUAUAAUAUAAAAAUAAAUUGCAAAAGUGGUCAGAAAAACUUAUUUUUACAGUCUGAACUUAUUCUGAAUUGUUUAACCUCUUAUUUUAAAUUUAUUGCUUUUGAAAUAUGUGU